rnacentral:rRNA from 1 species
AACGAACGCUGGCGGCAAGCUUAACACAUGCAAGUCGAACGGGUUGUUAUCAUAGCUUGCUAUGAUAACAGUUAGUGGCAGACGGGUGAGUAAUGCAUAGGAAUCUACCUAGUAGUAUGGGAUAGCCACUAGAAAUGGUGGGUAAUACUGUAUAAUCCCUGCGGGGGAAAGAUUUAUCGCUAUUAGAUGAGCCUAUGUUAGAUUAGCUAGUUGGUAGGGUAAAGGCCUACCAAGGCAGUGAUCUAUAGCUGGUCUGAGAGGAUGAUCAGCCACACUGGAACUGAGAUACGGUCCAGACUCCUACGGGAGGCAGCAGUGGGGAAUAUUGGACAAUGGGCGCAAGCCUGAUCCAGCUAUGCCGCGUGAGUGAGGAAGGCCUUAGGGUUGUAAAACUCUUUCAGUGGGGAAGAUAAUGACGGUACCUACAGAAGAAGUCC